AACGAACGCUGGCGGCGUGCCUAACACAUGCAAGUCGAGCGCGAAAGUUCCUUCGGGAGCGAGUAGAGCGGCGGACAGGUGAGUAAUACAUAGGUAAUCUACCUUCGAGCUUGGGAUAACCCCGCGAAAGUGGGGCUAAUACCGGAUAAGACCACGUAAUUAUUUUACGGGGUAAAAGGUGGCCUAUUUUUUAGAUGAGCUAUCACUUGAGGAUGAGCCUGUGGCCUAUCAGCUAGUUGGCGGGGUAAGAGCCCACCAAGGCUAUGACGGGUAGCUGGUCUGAGAGGACGACCAGCCACACUGGGACUGAGACACGGCCCAGACUCCUACGGGAGGCAGCAGUGGGGAAUAUUGGGCAAUGGGCGAAAGCCUGACCCAGCGACGCCGCGUGGGCGAUGAAGGCCUUCGGGUUGUAAAGCCCUGUCAUGCGGAAAGAACGACCCUGAGACGCAUACUCUCAGGGAGUGACGGUACCGCAGGAGGAAGCACCGGCUAACUCCGUGCCAGCAGCCGCGGUAA
rnacentral:rRNA from 1 species